rnacentral:rRNA from 1 species
UACGUAGGUGGCAAGCGUUGUCCGGAUUUACUGGGCGUAAAGAGCGCGCAGGCGGUCGUUCAAGUCGCGUGUGAAAGCCCCCGGCUCAACUGGGGAGGGUCACGCGAUACUGAUCGACUGGAGGGCAGGAGAGGGUAGUGGAAUUCCUGGUGUAGCGGUGGAAUGCGUAGAGAUCAGGAAGAACACCGGUGGCGAAAGCGCUCUGCUAGGCCGCAACUGACACUGAGGGACGAAAGCUAGGGGAGCGAAUGGG